UUGAAACUAUUGAUGUGGGAACACGAUACCAGCCGGCUGUCACGCCGGAGGUCGCGGGUUCGAGUCCCGUCUCUCGCGCCA
rnacentral:tRNA from 1 species